UACGUAGGGGGCUAGCGUUGUCCGGAAUCAUUGGGCGUAAAGAGCGUGUAGGCGGCCCGGUAAGUCCGCUGUGAAAGUCGGGGGCUCAACCCUCGAAUGCCGGUGGAUACUGUCGGGCUAGAGUGCGGAAGAGGCGAGUGGAAUUCCCGGUGUAGCGGUGAAAUGUGUAGAGAUCGGGAGGAACACCGGUGGCGAAGGCGGGUCUCUGGGCAACUCCUGACGCUGAGGCGCGAAAGCGUGGGGAGCAAACGGG
rnacentral:rRNA from 1 species